CACGUAGGGCGCGAGCGUUGUCCGGAAUUAUUGGGCGUAAAGAGCUCGUAGGCGGCCUGUUGCGUCCGCUGUGAAAGCCCGGGGCUUAACCCCGGGUCGGCAGUGGAUACGGGCAGGCUAGAGGUAGGUAGGGGAGUAUGGAAUUCCCGGUGUAGCGGUGAAAUGCGCAGAUAUCGGGAGGAACACCGGUGGCGAAGGCGGCGAUCUGGGCAGAUACUGACGCUGAGGUGCGAAAGCGUGGGGAGCAAACAGG
rnacentral:rRNA from 1 species